GAAAUUUCCAACUUUGAACAGAAGCAUAGAGUUAGAUAAGAAAAAAAGAGGAAAGCAAUGUUUGGGGAGAAAAAGGGGCAAUGGAUUAUGCUUCUGCAACUUUUUGUCAGCCUUUUGAAUUUGUUAUUACUAAUAUGGAGUAUUGGGAAGAUAAAAGAUGGAGCUAGUAUCAUUAAGUUGAUAUGCUCUGCUUCUGAUGCUGCUGUGAUUUUGAAUUCCAGUACCAGGGUAGAGAAAGAUGUCUCAGAGACAGCUUUCCAUGCCACAAAUGGUUAUUAUCCGUCGCUGAAUAUCCCACCACAUUCUGCUGAGCAAGGGCAAGAACAGCAUUUCGUGGAUCCCAACUCCAAAGAGUUGAAGAAAAUAAGAUGUAUGCAGGGAGGGCUUUCAACAGCCCAGCAAGGCCGUGAUUUUUUUAAUUUUGUUAAAUCUUCUACAACGGCCUCCUUGCCAAAUGGUUUUCAUUUUAGAAGACUGGAAAAUCAUGCAUACAAUUCAGUGCAUAAUGAUUUUCAGGCCAAUGCAAGGAGUCUAAUUCCGCUUGCUUUAUCAAUGAAACAUGCGAAUGAGCACAAGGAGUCUGCAUUUGGAAAGAAACAGCUAAAUAACAAAUUUCAUGGCCAGAAUUUUCCAAUAUCUAGAGGGAAACUGUUGAAAAUUGGUGUUCCAAUGAGAUCAACUUUGAAGCAAUUUGUGGAGGUAAGUCCUGAUGAGAAAAACAUUAGAGGAUUCUCAAUUGAUGUGUUUGAAGCGGCUGUUAGGCUUUUACCCUACAAAUUGAGGUACAAGAUGGUUCCCUUUAAUGGUUCUAAUGAUGAUUUGCUUAAGGAGGUUUCUCUCAAGACUUUGGAUGCAGCAGCUGGUGAUAUAGUAAUAAAUGCAGAAGGGUAUCAACUUGUGGAAUUCUCACAGCCAUAUGUGGAAGCUGGACUCACAAUGUUGGUGAAAGCUAGAACAAAUAAAUCUCAGGCUUGGUUUUUCAUUAGCCCCUUUACCCCUUGGAUGUGGUUUACUAUGGCAGCCAUGAGUAUGUUCACUGGUUUCGUCAUCUGGCUUAUUGAAAAGGAAAACCAUGAAGAGAAUGGUGGUUCACCUGCCAGCCCAAUCAAAACUGUUUUAUGGAUAUCCUUUGCCACUCUGUAUUCUGGGCAGAGUAAGAGAACUACACCAUAUGAAUCCGUAUCAAUGUAAUUUGUAAAGGCAUGCCUUGGGAUUUUAUGCAGAAAGCUGUAAAUUAUGUGCUUACUAUUUCAAAAAUUGAAAAAGAAAUUUCUGAUGUUCCCAAUUUUCAAAAUGAUAUGGAACCUGUUGAAUUUCCAUUAUGGAAUUUGAACGUGUUCAUCUAUUUAAAUCCUAGGAUUUUAAAACUUACAGAAAAUUAGUGAGGACAUUAGUUUAACAGGUUACAGGCUUGAUUAUUUAAAAAUUUGUAGUCAACCGUGCCAAUAUUAAUUUCAUCCAUCAAUAUUUGACUGUUAUAUUGUGUUUAUCCUCUUUAUAACAUAUUAUUGUCUUCAAUUUACAGGAGAAACACCAAAGAAUAGUUUGUCUAUUUUUGUGCUAGCCCCAUGGUUAUUCUUGUUGCUAGUUGUUAGCUCAACAUUCACAGCGACCCUCACUUCCGUAUUGAGCAACCCACAUUCUGAACCAUUUACAGCAGCAGAUGUUGAUGUGCUCAAGAGAAAGGAUGCCAUGGUUGGCUGUGAUGGAAGUUCUCUUAUAGUUCAGUACUUGGAGAAAGUUAUACGGUUCAAGCCACAGAAUAUCAAAACCAUAGCUUCAAGUGAUGACUAUGCAAAGGCUCUAGCAAGUGGAGAUAUUAAAGCUGCUUUCAUUUUGAUGCCUCAUGCCAAAGUUUUUCUUGCAAAAUACUGCAGCGGCUUCACCAUUUCAGGACCCAUCUACAAGCUAGGCGGUUUUGGAUUUGUAACCUGAUUCACACCCCUCUUUUGGAUUUUCUAUUCUCUAAUGCUUGCAGAGUUUCUGGUCUGAUUCUUCAUUUCUUAUGCAGGUGUUUCAAAAGGGUUAUAGUUUGGCAUCAGACAUAUCCCAAGCAAUUUAUAGAUUAAGUGAGAGUGGGGAAUUGCAGCGAAUGGAGGAAGACAUGCUUUCCUCUACCAAUUGCUCUGUUUCAUUAUCUGAUGCCAAUGUGACCUCAAGUUUAGGACCAGAACCAUUUUUAGGAUUGUUCAUUAUGUCAGGAGGUGCAUCCGCAAUUGCUUUGCUAAUCACAUUGAUAUGUCUAUUGAGACGACAUUGGGACAGAAUAAUCAACAUUCAAGCAGCAUUUGCGGGUAUAAAACUUUGUCCAUUGUUGGUUAACAGAAAACAGAUAACUGAGCUUUCAAUUCAAUUGGAGACAGAGUAGCUCCGCUCCUCGACCAGAACCCAGAAGGCAUUGCAUUUGAGUGGAAGAAUUGUACGGUUUAACGGUAGUCUUUACGAGUUAAUUCUGUAACCAGAAUAAUUCCUCCGUCUAAAUUUAGUUAGUUUCAUUAUUUAUUAUAGAUUAAAUAAUCAAAAUAUCUUUAACCCUUUUUUUUAUUUUAAAACAAUUUACAUCCCUCAAAUCUCAAAUUGGAAAUAGGG
rnacentral:misc_RNA from 1 species